GACGUAGGGCGCGAGCGUUGUCCGGAUUUAUUGGGCGUAAAGAGCUCGUAGGCGGCUUGUCGCGUCGACCGUGAAAACUCGCAGCUCAACUGCGAGCCUGCGGUCGAUACGGGCAGGCUAGAGUUCGGUAGGGGAGACUGGAAUUCCUGGUGUAGCGGUGAAAUGCGUAGAUAUCAGGAGGAACACCGGCGGUGUAGACGGCUUUCUGGACCGUAGCUGACGCUGAGACACGAAAGCGUGGGUAGCAAACAGG
rnacentral:rRNA from 1 species